ACUACGGGUGGCAGCAGUGGGGAAUAUUGCGCAAUGGGCGAAAGCCUGACGCAGCGACGCCGCGUGAGGGAUGAAGGUCUUCGGAUCGUAAACCUCUGUCAGCAGGGAAGAACGGUCACUGUGCUAAUCAGCAGUGAAUUGACGGUACCUGCAAAGGAAGCACCGGCUAACUCCGGGCCAGCAGCCGCGGUAAUACGGAGGGUGCGAGGUUUAAUCGGAAUUACUGGGCGUAAAGCGCUCGUGGGCGGUAUGUAAAUUCAAGGGUGAAAUCCCCGCGCUCAACGUGGGAACUGCCUUUGAAACUGGCAAACUGGAGUGUGUGAGAGGAUAGUGGAAUUCCAGGUGUAGGAGUGAAAUCCGUAGAUAUCUGGAGGAACAUCAGUGGCGAAGGCGACUAUCUGGCACAUAACUGACGCUGAGGAGCGAAAGCGUGGGUAGCAAACAGGAUUAGAUACCCGAGUAGUC
rnacentral:rRNA from 1 species